UACGUAGGGGGCAAGCGUUGUCCGGAUUUAUUGGGCGUAAAGAGCGUGUAGGCGGCCAAGCAGGUCCGCUGUGAAAACUCGAGGCUCAACCUCGAGACGUCGGUGGAAACCGUUUGGCUAGAGUCCGGAAGAGGAGAGUGGAAUUCCCGGUGUAGCGGUGAAAUGCGCAGAUAUCGGGAAGAACACCCGUGGCGAAGGCGGCUCUCUGGGACGUGACUGACGCUGAGACGCGGAAAGCGUGGG
rnacentral:rRNA from 1 species